UACGUAGGGUGCGAGCGUUGUCCGGAAUUACUGGGCGUAAAGGGCGCGUAGGCGGCCUGCUAAGUCGGAUGUGAAAUCCCUCGGCUCAACCGAGGAACUGCAUCCGAUACUGGCGGGCUUGAAUCCGGGAGAGGGAUGUGGAAUUCCAGGUGUAGCGGUGAAAUGCGUAGAUAUCUGGAGGAACACCGGUGGCGAAGGCGGCAUCCUGGACCGGUAUUGACGCUGAGGCGCGAAAGCUAGGGGAGCAAACGGG
rnacentral:rRNA from 1 species